rnacentral:lncRNA from 1 species
UUCUCUUAUCUAGAUGUGAUCUAAGUUUUAGAUCUAAAACUAUUUUAGAUCUAGGGUAUUGAUUUGAUCAAUACCAAAACUUUUAUUUUUUGAUUUAUAAAUAUAAUAUGACAUGUUAUAGGUCCUAAUUAUAGGGUUUAGUAAUUUGAUUACAUGUAUUUGUAGAUUAAAUUAUUAAAUUUACAUGUUUCGCUGCGUU